ensembl:snoRNA SNORD22 Small nucleolar RNA SNORD22
CCCCAGUGAAGAAUACUUACACUUCAAUUCCCGUUCUAGCCCCAGAACUUUGUGAAGACAAACCUAUUUGGAGCUGGCGGAAGAGAAGAAUAUUUGUUCCAGAAGGAAUUUCCUGAGGAAU